rnacentral:rRNA from 1 species
AGCGAACGCUGGCGGCAGGCUUAACACAUGCAAGUCGAGCGGGCACUUUCGGGUGUCAGCGGCGGACGGGUGAGUAACGCGUGGGAACGUGCCCUCUGGUUCGGAAUAACUCAGGGAAACUUGAGCUAAUACCGGAUACGCCCUUUUGGGGAAAGGCUUGCUGCCGGAGGAUCGGCCCGCGUCUGAUUAGCUAGUUGGUGAGGUAACGGCUCACCAAGGCGACGAUCAGUAGCUGUCUGAGAGGAUGAUCAGCCACACUGGGACUGGGACACGGCCCAGACUCCUACGGGAGGCAGCAGUGGGGAAUAUUGGACAAUGGGCGCAAGCCUGAUCCAGCCAUGCCGCGUGAGUGAUGAAGGCCUUAGGGUUGUAAAGCUCUUUUAUCCGGGACGAUAAUGACGGUACCGGAGGAAUAAGCCCCGGCUAACUUCGUG